rnacentral:rRNA from 1 species
AUUGAACGCUGGCGGAAUGCUUUACACAUGCAAGUCGAACGGCAGCACGGAAUUCGGUCUGGUGGCGAGUGGCGAACGGGUGAGUAAUAUAUCGGAACGUGCCCAGUCGUGGGGGAUAACGUAGUGAAAAUUACGCUAAUACCGCAUACGAUCUAUGGAUGAAAGCGGGGGACCUUUGGGCCUCGCUCGAUGGGAGUGGUCGAUGUCAGAUUAGGUAGUCGGUGGGGUAAAGGCUCACCAAGCCAACGAUCUGUAGCUGGUCUGAGAGGACGAGCAGCCACACUGGGACUGAGACACGGCCCAGACUCCUACGUGAGGCAGCAGUGGGUAAUUUUGGACAAUGGACGCAAGUCUGAUCCAGCUAUUCCGCGUGCAGGACGAAGGCGUUCGGGUUGUAAACUGCUUUGGUCCAGAACGAAAAGGUUUCUACUAAUACUAGGAGCUCAUGACGGUACUGUAAGAAUAAGCACCGGCUAACUACGUGCCAGCCGCCGCCGUAA